AGACCCGGAUGAGUCCUAGUCCCCGCCACACACAGGUCGUGGGUUCUCCUUUGAGAGUGACCACUGGUUCCUAGAGCUUUUCCUAAACUGGAGACGGAUCCUGCCCUGGGGGUCUCAGUCACCGCGAGGACUCGAGGGUAACUGCCAGAGGUCCCAGGUGGCCCGAGGGCUAUUUUAAAAUAUUUUCUGUUUCCUUGAUUUCUCCUCCUUUGGAUGUAUUGGGCUUCCUGACUCUUUGAAGAAUCUAUCCAGUGUCUUUAAGAUAGCAAAACUAAGUGUCAAAAGCACCUUCUGCACACAGUCUGCACACACUGGCCGGUGGUCCUGUUCCCGCAAGGUUGAGCUGUGUUCCAGAGACAUGGGUCCUCCGGGUGAUGAGGAGCCGCUGGAGGGCCCUGAGCUGCACGUGCUAAUGAUUAACGCCCCGUCCGUGCUGGCCGGUUUCUCAAAUGCCUCCUGACGAUUGCGCACAGCCGGACAUCAUUUGUACUGAGAGACAAAAGGAAAUCACUGAGGCUUUCUGAGGUGAGCUGGGCGGCCGC
rnacentral:lncRNA from 10 species